rnacentral:rRNA from 1 species
GAUGAACGCUAGCUACAGGCUUAACACAUGCAAGUCGAGGGGCAGCAUGGUCUUAGCUUGCUAAGGCUGAUGGCGACCGGCGCACGGGUGAGUAACACGUAUCCAACCUGCCGUCUACUCUUGGCCAGCCUUCUGAAAGGAAGAUUAAUCCAGGAUGGGAUCAUGAGUUCACAUGUCCGCAUGAUUAAAGGUAUUUUCCGGUAGACGAUGGGGAUGCGUUCCAUUAGAUAGUAGGCGGGGUAACGGCCCACCUAGUCAACGAUGGAUAGGGGUUCUGAGAGGAAGGUCCCCCACAUUGGAACUGAGACACGGUCCAAACUCCUACGGGAGGCAGCAGUGAGGAAUAUUGGUCAAUGGGCGAUGGCCUGAACCAGCCAAGUAGCGUGAAGGAUGACUGCCCUAUGGGUUGUAAACUUCUUUUAUAAAGGAAUAAAGUCGGGUAUGCAUACCCGUUUGCAUGUACUUUAUGAAUAAGGAUCGGCUAACUCCGUGCCAGCAGCCGCGGUAAUACGGAGGAUCCGAGCGUUAUCCGGAUUUAUUGGGUUUAAAGGGAGCGUAGAUGGAUGUUUAAGUCAGUUGUGAAAGUUUGCGGCUCAACCGUAAAAUUGCAGUUGAUACUGGAUGUCUUGAGUGCAGUUGAGGCAGGCGGAAUUCGUGGUGUAGCGGUGAAAUGCUUAGAUAUCACGAAGAACUCCGAUUGCGAAGGCAGCCUGCUAAGCUG